rnacentral:rRNA from 1 species
CCUACGGGUGGCUGCAGUGGGGAAUAUUGGACAAUGGGCGAAAGCCUGAUCCAGCCAUGCCGCGUGUGUGAAGAAGGCCUUCGGGUUGUAAAGCACUUUCAGUGGGGAAGAAAGCCUUGGGGCUAAUACCCUCGAGGAAGGACAUCACCCACAGAAGAAGCACCGGCUAACUCCGUGCCAGCAGCCGCGGUAAUACGGAGGGUGCGAGCGUUAAUCGGAAUUACUGGGCGUAAAGCGCGCGUAGGCGGUCUGAUAAGCCGGUUGUGAAAGCCCCGGGCUCAACCUGGGAACGGCAUCCGGAACUGUCAGGCUAGAGUGCAGGAGAGGAAGGUAGAAUUCCAGGUGUAGCGGUGAAAUGCGUAGAGAUCGGGAGGAAUACCAGUGGCGAAGGCGGCCUCCUGGACUGACACUGACGCUGAGGUGCGAAAGCGUGGGUAGCAAACAGGAUUAGAUACCCGAGUAGUC